UACAGCCAUAUCACAUUUAAACACUAGUUCUCAUACGAUCAUCGAAGUUAAGCAAGGUUAAGCCUGGUUAGUAUCUAGAUGGGUGACUGCUUGGGAAUACCAGGUGCUGUAA